rnacentral:rRNA from 1 species
ACUCCUACGGGAGGCAGCAGUGAGGAAUAUUGGACAAUGGGCGAGAGCCUGAUCCAGCCAUGCCGCGUGCAGGAAGACUGCCCUAUGGGUUGUAAACUGCUUUUAUACGGGAAGAAACACCCUCACGUGUGGGGGCUUGACGGUACCGUAUGAAUAAGGAUCGGCUAACUCCGUGCCAGCAGCCGCGGUAA